UAGCUGUAACAACCACGCGGCGCGCCAAGUCCCACAGCUCUGACUCCAGUCUUCCCCGUGGGAGGCGCAUCUCCCUCCUACCCUGCCAGCCGCGGGCCCCGGACCAGCUUCGUUCCUGGCCGGGACGCCGGGUCCCUCUCCCUACACGGCGCGUCCCGGGUUCAUUUGCAUAGGGACGCGCGCGGCGCCGGCGAGCGGAGAGCGGGCGUGGCCGGGAAGGCGGCGCGCGCGCACCCUGACAGCUGGGUCCUGCUCGCUCACUCGCUCGUCCCCGGCUUCCGAGCACAGCAUGGCGGUCAAGGUGCAGACAACCAAGCGAGGUGAUCCUCAUGAGUUAAGAAACAUAUUUCUACAGGAUCUGAAUCCCUUGUCUUCUUCCAGAUAACUGUGCUGCGUCUGACAAAGUAACCUAAUAAAGAUGUUCAUAUGUAUUUA